GUGUGCGGGAAACUGCUCCCAUGAUUCAAUUAUCUCCACCUGACCCCUCCCUUGACUUGUGGGGAUUAUUAAAAUUUGAGGUAAGAUUUUGGUGGGGACACAGCCAAACCAUAUCACUGCCCAAAGUAAUUUAUAGAUUCAAUUCUAUUCCCAAUAAACUACCACAGACAUUAUUCACAUAAUUAGAAAAAAACUAUUUUA